rnacentral:rRNA from 1 species
AUUGAACUUAAGAGUUUGAUCCUGGCUCAGAUUGAACGCUGGCGGCAUGCCUAACACAUGCAAGUCGAACGGUAACAGGUCUUCGGAUGCUGACGAGUGGCGGACGGGUGAGUAACGCGUAGGAAUCUGUCUUUGAGUGGGGGACAACCCAGGGAAACUUGGGCUAAUACCGCAUAAGCCCUGAGGGGGAAAGCGGGGGAUCUUCGGACCUCGCGCUGGAAGAGGAGCCUACGUCUGAUUAGCUAGUUGGUAGGGUAAAG